GUGUGAUAAUCGUGUCCAUAUUUCCAAGUUUUACUUCUAACCUCACCUUUUUUACUAAUCAAAAGCUUACAACCUCAAAUCUCAAAUCCCUCUUCAACAAUGGCCGUAAGCAUCAAUUUGGUCCUUUAUCAAUGUUACUCAGAGGGCACCCCAUCUUUCUCAUCAUUUUUUCUGAAAAAUUUAUAGGUCUUUUAUAUUUUAAGACGAUUGGAACCGAUACUACCUUAAAGGAGACUCGGGAAUAUGAAAUAGCUAUUUAAAGUUACUUCAUGUGAGUGUUUUGCUAUUUACCGGAUAUUGAGGCCAAUAACCGGAAAGUAAAUGUAUACACUGAAAAUCAUACUUUUCAAGAGACUAGAUGGAACCGUUAACGAGUUUGUGAUCUUAUUAAGGUGUACAAGGAUCAAUAUUUCCCCACUGAUUUGCUUUUUCUUUCAUCUA